AGUCCACCUCUUUUUUUUUUAACAUAAUGUUUCCAAUAUUAAUUCUACUGCAGAUUCACCUGUCCUGUAAGUUGACAUUUGAAACAAGGAGUCUCAGGAAAAAGUUCAUUUUUUAGUAGUGAAAGUUGUCUUACAUGUAAUAAAGUUAAGUAGCACAAAGUGUAAUUCUGCUGUCCUCUUGUUUGGUUUGGCAAUGUGGUUAUAGAACUCUCUCCCCCUUGAAGAUUUUGGAAACACACUUGGACCAGUAGAACAGUACUUCUUUUCUGUGUGAAGUCCAUACUAAUGGAGCUGCUGUACAUUUAAGGACCUAAAAAACAUCUUACUGUAACCAGUACUAAGUAUUUCU
rnacentral:lncRNA from 1 species